ACUCAAAUGAAUUGACGGGGACCCGCACAAGUAGGGGAACGUGUGGUUUAAUUCGAGACAAAACGAAAAACCUCACCAGGGUUUGAAAUGUAUGUUUUAGGACUCCGAAAGGGGAACAAACCGCAAGGUAGCAUACACAGGUGCUGCAUGGCUGUCGUCAGCUCGUGUCGUGAGAUGUCGUCUUAAGUGACUCAACGAGCGCAACCCUCAUCACUAGUUGUAUCACUCUAGUGAAACUGCCGCGUAUAACGCGGAGGAAGGCGAGGAUGACGUCAAGUCAUCAUAGCCCUUAUGUCCUGGGCUACACACACGUUACAAUGCAUAGGAACAAUGGGCUGCGAGCUCGCGAGAGUAAGCUAAUCCCCUAAAACUAUGCUCAGUUCAGAUUGUAGUCUGAAAUUCGACUGCAUGAAGAUGGACUUACUAGUAAUCAGCAGAUCAGCAUGCUGCGGUGAAUACGUUCUCGGGUCUUGCACACACCGCCCGU
rnacentral:rRNA from 1 species